AUCGAGCUGACGAGUUCCAAAUAGGACGAUACGCGCAUCCUGAU
rnacentral:hammerhead_ribozyme from 1 species